CUGGUGCUCUAUUAACCAUUAGAUAUUUCUUUGAAUUAUUACCAUGUCACAAUCUCUUUUCACUCCAUUUGUUGUGUUGUUCUUGUUCUAAACAACUUAUAAACAUAGAAUAUCUGCAAAAGAAUAGUAUUCAUCUUCAUUAUUUCAUAUCUAAAUUGUUGCAGUAAUCAUUUUGGCUUGUUUAACCCCUUGCAGUGGUUGACUCGACGACAAGCACACUAAGUGCGUGCCCAACAGGGUAUCCCUGUGUCUGAAUAUGGGGGACUUCUUGAAAACGUGAAAGAUGGUUGCUUGGUUUGGCAAUUGGCGGAGGAUUUGCUUAGGUUAAUUAGUUUGUCUUGUUAUAAUUAGUGUCAUGAACAUCAUCUAGUGAGUUAGGAUAAUUAGUUUGUUUUUAUCUUGGACACAAAGUUGUCUUGCUUCUUUGUAUGUUUUGUGAAGGAUGGGAGACUCAUGUAACUUGAUGGUACUUAUUGGCCUUCUUUGUGCCUUUUUAUAUCUUUAUCAAUAUAAUUUUUGUCUUUUGUAUUA